UAAAGUGGCGCACGGGUGAGUAACACGUGGAUCAUCUACCUUUUAGUGGGGAAUACCUCUGGGAAACCGGAGACAAUACCGCAUAAGCCUGUAAAGGGAAAGCAGCAAUGCGCUGAAAGAGGAGUCCGCGGCCGAUUAGCUAGUUGGCGGGGUAAUGGCCCACCAAGGCGAAGAUCGGUAGCCGGCCUGAGAGGGCACACGGCCACACUGGCACUGAAACACGGGCCAG
rnacentral:rRNA from 1 species